rnacentral:misc_RNA from 1 species
GAUGAAGAACGUAGCGAAAUGCGAUAAGUAAUGUGAAUUGCAGAAUUCAGUGAAUCAUCGAAUCUUUGAACGCACAUUGCGCCCCUUGGUAUUCCGAGGGGCAUGCCUGUUCGAGCGUCAUUAUAACCCCUCAAGCUCAGCUUGGUGUUGGGGCCUGCUGCACUGGCAGCCCUUAAAAUAAGUGGCGGCGCCAUCUGGCUCUAAGCGUAGUAAUUCUUCUCGCUAUGGAGUCCUGGUGGAUGCUUGCCAUCAACCCCCAAUUUUUCUAUGGUUGACCUCGGAUCAGGUAGGGAUACCCGCUGAACUUAAGCAUAUCAAUAAGCGGAGGA